UACAGUGUGCCACUGGCAGGAAGGUGCCAGCUCAGUUCAGUGCCUUGCAUAGCAGGGCACUUGGGGAAACAGAAUUUGUAUUGUUGACAUUUGACAUCGUAGAUUUGUCCACUUACUACGAUAGUUUCCCACAUACCCUUGCUGUUGAUUUCUGUGACUCUGUUGGUAUUUGUACACAGUACAGACAUAAAAGCUCUUGUUUCCUUCUGGAGAGAGGAACUGGGGAAGAAGCUUCUGGAGAGGAGAAAAAUAGGGAAGACAGAAGGGCUGGCAUGCUUUCUACUCUCUAGCCCAGUGGUCACGGGGCCAAUGACCAAUGCAGAUAAAAAUACUCUUCAUUGAGUCUCAGCAGUGAAUUUUCUCAGGGCCCAGGGGCAGCUUGCUGGCAAAGGGACCCUUCUCUCCCCUGCCUCACAUUCAGCACUUUUGUGGCAUCAGAGAACUGCAGACCUUGGGGACAGGUUCUCCUUGACAAAUAAGAAUGCAGAUGUCACUCAAGUGUAUGAUACGAAAAUCUUUCCCAGAACUGGGAGUAUCCAGAACUAACCACACAUGAGAACUGUUUUUUUUCAAGGUAUUCCCUGGCCUCUUGGCCCUCUUCACCCCUCCUCACCAGGACUCCAGGAUCCUCCUGUCUGGAAAAUAGUGUUCUGCUCACCUACUUCAUGCCAAGAUGUUAGUUAAUAUCUGUCUCUGCAGAAAGUCUGCUUUUAGAAAAUGUACCGAAAGUGGAUGUUAAUACAGCUACGUGUGGAAGAGAUACUAAGGCAAGGAUUGGAAUUUCAAAUGCCUACAGGAGUCAAGAGGAUACUGUAAAGUUGACUAGAUGCAGGCAGCAAUAGGGAGUGGUGGAGACUGUGGCAAACUGAAGAACACAUGCCUCAUUCAAAGGGAAUAGUUACCACCCAGCUCUAACUAACUGUUGCCAUAUCAUAUCCCAUAUUGGGCCCAAAUUCUUUUGAUUUUUUUAAGGGCAGCCAGAAAUCAAGUGUCUUCUAUGAUGUCUUCUGAUUUUCAAAGAUUUGUGAUUAAAUACUUUCAAUAAGCAUUGUAAAGGGCCUAUGAAAUCUGCCCAGCAGUUCCAUUUGGCCCACUUGGCCUCAGCUUUAUAUCAAGGCUCACCUGGUGAGGUGUGUGGUAACCUGGACAGGUAGUGCUUACGAUAUCAGCUUUUGCUCUUGACAUUUGUGGAGCUAGAAGAGUCCUGCUUUGUUACAGAUAAGAUACUAUGGCCCACAGCAGACAAAUGGCUCACUCUCAAUCACACUAUCACUCUCUUAGGCCAAGAAUGCCAGAGUUGGCUGGGCACGGUGGCUCACACCUGUAAUUCCAGCACUUUGGGAGACCAAGGUGGGCAAAUCACAAGGUUCGAGACCAUCCUGGCCAACACAAUGAAACCCCAUCUCUACUAAGAAUACAAAGAUUAGCUGGGCAUGAUGAUACGUGCCUGUAAUCCCACCUAUUGAGGAGGCUGAGGCAGGAAAAUCACAUGAACCUGGGAGGCAGAGGUUUCAGUGAGCUACAGUGCACUCCAGCCUGAGUGGCAGAGCGAGACUCUGUCUUAAAAAAAAAAGUUAAAAAAAAGCCAGACUCCUGCUCUUCAUGACUUCAAAGUCAUUGAGUCCUCAGUCUUUAAAACAAUAGUCAGUAGGCAGCUAUUGAUUUGGCAAGACGACAACAACAACAAAAACAACAGGCAAUGUCUCUGUCUGUCCCAUUGUUUGCCUCUGAGAAAGGCCCUUGGUGAGUGGAAACACUCUGUCAGGUGGGUAAAUCAGAGCAAAAGAUGCUGUGUCCACACUGGUUUCUGGCUGGUUAGGGGAAUAGUACAAAUGGAUAAUGUUCUUCAUGAAUUUAUCUCACAUAUCAUAGAACUUACUCUACAAGAUCGUACACUAAUCAUUUACAGAGUGAGCUGAAAUCCCUAAAUAACCCAGGCGGAGAAAAUCACCGCACUGCUGAAUACUCUUUUUAUUUAUGAGCAGGUGCACAUUCUAGACACCUGAGUCAGGCCCAGAGGGAGAAAGUUUCCUUAAUCUGCAGUUGACAUAGGAAGAUUUCUGUCUGUGUCAUGCUCUGAAUGUGUCUGUCCUCUUCCCAAUUCUAAAGUGCAAAUGGUCUAACCCAGUCAGCAGGAAAAAAAAUGCAGGUAUAAAAUUUAGCAUUCUCUCAACACAGCAUUUGUUCAUUCUAACCUCACCUUUUGCAAAUACACCUUUAGAGCUCUUAACACUUAAGCUACUUACUUAUGUUAUUGAUAAUGGUUCCAAAACAAAUAUCAGACUUUAAGUGAUUUCAACCCUUCUUGCAUAAACUCUGAGCUCUAGCUUAUGAGAACAUUGCAGAGAUAGCCAGAAUUAGCUUUUUGCUAAUUUGUAAUAUUAUGGCUUCUAGGGCUUUUAAGUCUUAGAAACAAUUUCUUUUCUAUGAAGGGUCUUCAAAGGUUCAUAGAAAACGCAUAUUGUGGAAAAAAAACUACAUGUGGAUUUCAAAAUUUUUUUGCACCAAAAUAAACUCAUACUAACUUGUUACAACAUACCUGAAGAUGAUCUAGUUUAAGGCACUAAGAAUAAGACAUAUGCCAGGCAAGGAGACUCGUGCCUGUAAUCCCAGAACUUUGGGAGGCUGGGGCAGGUGGCUCACAAGACCAGCGUGGGCAACAUGGAGAAACCUUGUCUCUACACAAAAAAAAAAAAAUUAGUGGGGCAUGGUGGUGUGUGCCUCUAGUCCGAGCUACUCAGGAGGCUGAGGUGGGAGGAUCACCUGAACCUGAGAGGCAGAGGUUGCAGUCAGCCAACAUCACAGCACUGCACUCCAACCUGGGUGACAGAGCAACAGUCUGUCUCAAAAAAAAAAAAAAAAAAAAAAAUAAGAAGGAUAAGAUAUAAAUUCAAAGAGAGUACAUAUCAGAGCAUUAAGAAUUCUGCUAAAAUUGAAGCAAGAACAAACAUGAAAUUUAUGGUGAAACUUGGGUGGAAGAAUGGUGAAAUCACUGAUGCUUUAUGAAAAGUUUAUGGGAACAAUGCACCAAAGAAAUCAGCAGUUUACAAAUGGAUAACUCAUUUUAAGAAGGGUUGAGAAAACGUUGAAGAAAAAGCCCAUGGCAGCAGACCAUCCACAUCAAUUUGUGAGGAAAAAAUCUUGUUCAUGCUCUAAUUGAAGAGGACCAAUGAUUAACAGCAUAAAUAGUCAACACCAUAGACAUCACAACUGGUUCAGCUUACACAUUUCUGACUGAAAAGUUAAAGAUGAACAAACUUUCCACUUGAUGGGCACCAAAACUGUUGUACCCAGAUCAGCUGCAGACAAGAGUAGAGCUUUCAAUGAAAUUUUUAAACAAAUGGGAUCAAGAUCCAGAAGCAUUUCUCCUAAGAAUGUAACAGGAGAUAAAAUACUGGUUUACUGAUAUGAUCCUGAAGACAAGACAUAAUCAAAGCAAUGGCUACCAAGAGAUGGAUGUGAUCCAGGGAAAGCACGAGCAGAGCAGUCAAAAGCAAAGACCAUGGCAACAGUUUUUGGGAUGCUCAAGGCAUUUUGCUUGUUGAGUUUCUGGAGGGACAAAGGACAAUAAGGUCUGCUCAUUAUGAGAAUGUUUUGAGAAAGUUAACCAAAGCUUUAGUAGAAAAAUGCUCAGGAAAGCCUCACCAAAGAGGCCCUCUCCAUUAUGACAAUGCUUCUGUUCAUUCCUCUCAUAAAACAAGGGCAAUGUUGUGAGAGUUUCAAUAGGAAAUCAUUAGGUGUCCACCCUGACUUCUUUUUGUUUCCUAAUUUUAAAUAUAAUCAUAAAAGGGCACUCAUUUUUCUUCAGUUAAUAAUGUAAAAAUGACUGCACUGGCAUGGUUAAGUUCCCAGGACCCUCAGUUCCUUAGAGAUGAAUUAAAUGGCUGGUAUCAUCACUUAUAAAAGUGUCUUGAACUUGAUGGAACUUAUGUUUUUUGUUUGUUUUGUUUUGUGAAGCAGGGUCUCACUCUGUCAUCCCAUUGGAGUGCAGUGGCAUGAUCUCCACUCACUGUAACCUCUGCCUCUCAGGCUCCAGUGAUUCUCCCACCUUAGCCUCCCUCCCAAGUGGCUGGGACUACAGGCAUGCACCACCAUGCCCAGCUAUUUUAUUUUUAUUUUUUUGUCGAGACAGGGUUUUGCCAUGUUGCCCAGGCUGGUCUCAAAUUCCUGGGCUCAAGUGAUCUGCCUGCCUUAGCCUCACAAAGUGCUGAGAUUACAGGUGUGAGCCAGAAGCUUAUGUUGAAAAUGAAGUUUGUAUUUUCCAUUUUAAUCUUUUAAUUCCAUUUUUCCACUAACUUUAUGAAGUCUCUUUAUAUUAUGCUUUCUGACCUUGUCAGCUGUCUAAUAAGAUUGGAAAAGCAGGGAUUAUUAUUCACAUUUGAAAGAUAAGAAAGUCCAGCAAGGGAGACUGACUGUGUGACCCACUGAGAUGACAUGAACAAGGUGUCUCCCUAUCCCCAUGUUUUUUUUAUGUAAAGCAAUUAUGAUCUAAGAAAUCUGUAGCUCACAUUCCAAAACAGAGCUGAACUCCAUUACUACAAAAUAGAUUCUUAUAUUGCCUUAGAUAUUCUGUGGGCAAAAAAUAGACCUACUGAUAUAUGCCUUCAUAUUCAUAUUGAUUCUAUAAUACCUGUAGAUCUAAAUCAUAAGGAUUAUUUAUAGCAUUAUACUAAAAAAAAUCAAAUAAGAAACAAAAAACAACAAACCAGGUACAGUGGCAGAUGCCUGUAAUCCCAGAACUUUGGGAGGCUGAGGCCUCCCUGAUCACCUGAGGUCAGGAAUUUGAGACCAGCCUUGACAACAUGGCAAAACCCCUGUCUCAACUGAAAAUACAAAAAUUAGUCAGGCAUGGUGGCAUGUGCCUGUAAUCCCAGCUACUAGGGAGGCUGAGGCAGGAGAAUCACUUGAUCACAGGAGGCAGAGGUUGCAGUGAGCUGAGAUUGCACCACUGCACUCCAGCCUGAGUGACAGAGUGAGACUUCAUGUCAAAAAAAAAAAAAAAAGGCCACAAUUUCUGAUAUUCUUGAAUGACAUGAGAAAGCUUUUUCUCUCUCCAUUGGAAUCCAAAUGAGAGAGCACAUCCUUCCAACCAGGAGCAGCCAAACAGGUGGUCUUGACAUGUUCUCUUCCUAUGACCUCCUUACUCUAUUUUUAAGUAAAAACAAAAAACAUGAGAGAAUAUUUUGCAAUGGCCAUAGUGUUCAAGGAAGAGGUGAGAGAGGCCUCAGCUCUCAGAGGGACAAGGUAGGGAUAGAUGACAAAGUUUGUACCUGGUAAAAGGAAAGGGAAAUGACCAAGAGAAGACCUAAGAAGGGGGACAAGGGUGCUGGGUAUAGGAUGGGACACCAAAUAUGAGGUCACAUUUUUAAGUUCAACUUAUAUUUCGUUGUUUGAUGUCAAUAAUCUAACAGUAUUCUUUUCUACAGUGUACAUCUUAAAUUUAUGGUUAUCAAUUGCCUUAUUCUUACAUGUGCUUUUGUGGCCCAGCCUGGAAACUCUCCCUAUUUAUUAUGCAAGUUCUGUAACAUAAUAUGUUCAAACAGUUGAAGUAAAAAUAUGUUUUAGGGCCAGGCACAGUGGCUCACGCCUGUAAUCCCAGUACUUUGGGAGGCCGAGGUGGGCGGAUCAAUUGAGGUUAGGAGUUCGAGACCAGCCUGACCAACAUGGAGAAACCCCAUCUCUACUCAAAAUACAAAAUUAGCUGGGUGUGGUGGCACAUGCCUGUAAUCCCAGCUACUCUGAAGGCUGAGGCAGGAGAAUCGCUUGCACCCUGGAGGCAGAGGUUGCAGUGAGCUGAGAUCAUGCCAUUGCACUCCAGCCUGUGUAACAAGAGUGAAACUCAUAAUAAAUAAAUAAAUAAAUGUUUUAGGAAUACAACAUGUCAGUUGAAGACUAUUGGUAAGUACAGUGACAAUCCUGGAAUGAACUGUGAAUGUGGGUUAUGAAUCAUAGAAUUGCUUUAAGAAAUAGCAUAGGCCAACUAGUAUUCAAUGUUGUACCACAUUCAUUUAUCACUGCACCCCAGUCCCUGACAUGGGAGGCAUUGGGAGCUUCUGGAAAAAUAUGGUCAGAAGCAGUCUUACAUCCCAUGGGGACUAACAUACCCCAUGCUUAGCAUAUGUUUGUGUAUUUUUAACAGAUUAAGGUAUAAAAUAAUUAUAUUCAGAUCGCCACACAGCCCACAACAAAUGUGCUUUGUUGCUAAAACAAAUGUAUUUAUAUACAACACAAAUCAUCUAUAAUAAUAAAUUAUUUAACUGGCCCCAGACCCUAUGACAAUUUCUCAUAAAGGAAAAAUCCUUCAGUCAUUACAGAGGGCUCUAUGGAAUCCCCCUGCUAAGCAUGGUUGCAAGUAUGGCAGACGUGCAACAGGCAGGCGUCCCUGCUCUCAAAGGGCUUAAAUCUUGAAGGAAGGAGAUAGAUAAAAAGCAAAAUAUAUAGGACUUUAGAUAGUGCAAUGUGCUAAGGAGAAAAAAAAAACUAGGAAGGGAAAUAGGAAUUUUCAAAGAGGUAGAAUGGGUUUGGAAGCCCUCAACUGAGACGGGACGCUUGAGCAAAGACCUGAAGGCAGUGAAGGAUCCACCACAUGGGCAUCUGAAGUGAAGCUUUCAAGGCAGAAGAAACAGAGGUGGAGAGGACCUGAAACAGAAGGGUGUCCAGCAUAGGCAAGGAAUGUGGAGGAGCCCAAGGAGGUGGUGGAGUGCGGGGAAGAUAGUGGCCAAGAAGCCUGAAGGGUCAUAUUUUAUAUGUGUCCUAUGUGGAGAGAGGGAAGAAAUGUAUCCAGUCCAACUGUCUGAUACUGUUCUCCCAUCAAAUCCAAAUUCCUCUUUAGCUUUCCUCAUCUCCAUGUAGAUCACUCACGCAGAUAAAACCAUCACCCUCAAAUAUCAAAGAUGGUCAGUUCUUUGGCAUGGAGUAUGUUUAUUUCUUUCUGGUCAUGCACAGCAUUGGCACACAUUAGCUGAGAGGGCUAAGCAGAAUCAACUGAAUUUGCUUUGUCUCCUCCUCUCCAUUCCUACACCCCUCACCCACCCUAAACCCUCAGCAUCUCUCCUCUGGGUUACCAGAAAAACCUUGAGCUCUGGUCCCACCUCCAGUGUCUGUGGCUUUCAGCCAUGCUACACAGCUGCCCCAGCCACCUCCC